rnacentral:rRNA from 1 species
UUAUAAGAGACAGCAGCAGCCGCGGUAAUACAGAGGGUGCGAGCGUUAAUCGGAUUUACUGGGCGUAAAGCGUGCGUAGGCGGCUUCUUAAGUCGGAUGUGAAAUCCCUGAGCUUAACUUAGGAAUUGCAUUCGAUACUGGGAAGCUAGAGUAUGGGAGAGGAUGGUAGAAUUCCAGGUGUAGCGGUGAAAUGCGUAGAGAUCUGGAGGAAUACCGAUGGCGAAGGCAGCCAUCUGGCCUAAUACUGACGCUGAGGUACGAAAGCAUGGGGAGCAAACAGGAUUAGAUACCCGAGUAGUCCCUGUCUCUUAUAC